UGGAGCGGUCGCUCGGUGG
rnacentral:misc_RNA from 1 species